rnacentral:tRNA from 1 species
UCGGGGGUAGACUAAGCGGUAGGUCACUUGCCUUUGAAGCAAGUAAUGGAGGUUCGAAACCUUCCCCCCGAGCCA